rnacentral:lncRNA from 1 species
CUCACCCGCCGCAGCCACCCACUUGCCUUCUCCUCUUUUUCCCCACCGCACCAAUCAGCAGCCUCUCUUCCUCGAUCCAAACCCGCAGCUUGCCACAACUCCUCCUCAAUUUCCACGCCGACCAACCUCCGUAAUUUACUCCGGACGCCACCCACCACCUCCGGCUGGUCUCCAGAACACCCGAGCUCCACCUCCUCGUCCCCGUGUCCGCAGCAGUAGAGCAGGAGCCCUCGCGUCGAGCCUCCUCUCGUCCAGGAGCCCGAGCUCCUCGAUCCCUCCUCCAGCGCACCUCCUCGCUUCCUCGAUCCAUGGAGACGAGCUCCUCCUGAACCAGGUAGUGCCUUGCUUCCUUCUCUCUCCCUCGGGUGCUCUCUCCCUGUCUCUCAAGCUCUCCCUUUUUCUGUGUGUCCCUCAAGACGCCAUCGUUGCACCAGCUCAACCCCGCUGCACCUCCGCCUCAACUCCGGUCGGAUCGGCUCCAGUCCCUGCCUCCCCCGCUUUGAUCCGGCAGGUAAAGGGACCCCGAAGACCUCCCGCGCUUGGUCCGGACGCCACCGAGCUCCCGCGCCGACCUCUCCUCACCCCACUGCUCGCCGGAGUUGCACCUGUGCCCGCCUCGCCCAGUUGUGUCCUCUGCUUCAAAUGAUAGGACGAGCGUCGCUCGCAUUGACCGCGCCCAGUCGCCACGCUAGUGCAUCAGUGCCUCGUCCACUCAUCGUCUUUGCCGCCCGUGGGCCUCCCCUGCCCCACGGCUUGCAUCCGCCCCUGCCGGCCUCACCUCACCUCCGAAGUGGGUCAUGGCCCAUGGUGAGAAGCCCUCCAGCCCCUCUUAUGCACUGUUGGGCUAGAAGAUUCGGCCCGAUGCGUCUUUUUACCUCUGUUGCAAUUUUAGCAUUUAUUCCAGGUUUUACUGUUUUACAAAAAAAACCUCAUGUUCAUGCAUGCAAUAGCUAAUUAACCAUGCAUCAGUUUAAAACAAACUAUAUAUGUAAAAUACUUAGAAUUUCAUCUAGUUUCAUAAUAUCCAACCAUGUUUAAAAUGUUUAACUUGUUGUUUGCAUAAUUUUCUUAAAUAACAUGUUAAAAUGGAUUAUUUCAUAACUUAAUAAUCGUUGCUCGGAAUUAAAUAAACUUUAUAUGUAAAUGGUCUAUAAAAAUGCAUAGAUUAACAUGGUAGCCUUACUUUGCAUGUUUAACAACUCUAAAACUGUGUAUAGGGCAGAACCGUAGCAAAUUCGAAAUAUGCAUAUGGGGAUUUUUUAGAAUUGUUGUUUAUUGUUUCUGGCCUCAUUUAAACUGCCUAGAUAGGUAUUUUUAUUAUGCUUCACCUCUUUCCAUGUUAACCAACAUUUAAUCUUGUCUUGUUCAUAAACGGGAGUGAACUAAAUAAUUGCAUGUGGCGUUUCGUCAAUAUGCAACUCUUUGCAAAUUGAGCUCCACUUAAUUUGUAGUAUUGUUUUUUGCACUUUGCCAUGCCAUGCAUAUUUAAAGCAUACACGCAUCAUACUUGUUUGUGCAUCAUGCCAUGAUUAUGCUUGUUUGUUUACCGUGUUGUCUGUUUCUUUCCGGAUGUUCUUCUUCUCGAUAGUUCUGGAGAUGUUGCAAAUGUGAGGAUUCGUUCGACUACGCCCGCUUGUCUUCUUCAUGGACUCAUUCUUCUUCCUAGCGGGAUUUCAGGCAAGAUAACCAUCACCUUGGAUCUCACUACUAUUUUUGCUAUGCUAGUUGUCUCAAUGCCAAUGCUAUGUCGCGCUACCACCACUUGUUUAUCAAGCCCUCCAAUAUGCCAUGAAACAACCUCUAACCUUUUCCACCAUCCCACCAAAUCGUUGUUUGGCUAUGUUACUGCUUUGCUCAGCUCCUCUUAUAGCGUUACUAGUUGCAGGUGUAGUUGCAGGUUGUUCCAUGUUGGAACAUGGAUAUCUUGGGAAAAUAUCUCUUAUUUAAUUAAUGCACAUAUAUACUUGGUAAAGAGUGUAAGGCUCGGCCUUUUGCCUGGUGUUUUUUUCAACUCUUGCCGCCCUAGUUUUCGUUAAACCAUUGUUAUGUUCCUUGAAUUUUGCGUUCCUAACGCGCUCGGGGUUUAUGGGCCUCCCUUGAUUCUUCGCUUAAAGUAAAGCUUUACCGAGGAUAUCAAACUUUGGUUUUACCAUUUGCCUAAUAACAACUAAAACUUGCAUAGGGAGUAAUUAACCCGAGGAUUCUUAAUCAACCCCCUGGGCCAGUGCUUGACAUGAGUGUUGGUCCACCUACCUAGCAGUCAGCGGUGCCGCCUCGGGGCAACUUGAUGGUAUUUUGGCUAUCGUCCACUAUGCAUAGAUGGAUGAGUCCGUAUAUAGACAGUGCGCGGCUCUCGACACGGAUCUGACUCACCAGAAGAUCUCCUUGGGAUAGUUUUCCUUUCUUCGAAGAACUUCUGCACCGGGAUUUUGAGAAUACUCGGGUUGUCCCGUGAUGGAGGAUUGUCUCCGUGGAUCGUGAGAGCUUAUCAUGGGCUAAGUUGGGACACCCCUGCAGGGUUUAAACUUUUGAAAGCCGUGCCCACAGUUAUGUGGAAGAUGGAACUUUUUAAUAUCCGGUUGUAGAGAACUUGACACCAGAUCUGAAAUAAAAUACACCAACUGCGUAUAUAACCGUGACUGUGUCUUUUCGAGCAAGUUCGGGAAGAGAAUACGGUGGGGUUAUGUUUGACUCGUAAGUAGUUCAGGUUCACUUAUUGAUCAUUACUAGUUUGUGACCGCAUGCAUAGCUUCUCAUCUUACUUUGAAAACAUAAGCUAGCCACCUGAUAUAUGCUUAGUGCUUCGCUGCAAUUCCACCAAAUACCCCUUCCUCACCUAAAAGUUUUGUUAGUCUUGAUUCCCUGGAAUGCGAUUGUUGAGUCCUCGUGGCUCACAGUUUACUACAAAAACAGCUGUAGGUAUCUCUGAGUUUGAUGCUAACAACGAACAUGAGCUUCAGUGGGAGUUCAAUGAAGAACAUGGCCGAAUGCACGUCACAUAUCCAGACGAUCAGUACUGGUGCCUAGUAGGGACGAUCGGGACUUAGCAUGGGUGGUUGUAUUUUAUUCGUUUGACUUCAUCCGUAGCCAGACCUUGUGUUCAUCUUGAAUGAUUUUAUCAAAUUUGAUGAUGUUGUGUGAUUCGUGGCGAGUGUCAGCCAACUAUGCUCUAUAUCUAUCUUUUCAGUACGUGGGUUGUGCAAAGAUUAACCACUCUUGAGACCACUCCUGCAUGCGUUUAUGGCCCUAAGUCGUGCCCCGACACGUGAGGGAUAUAACCGCAUGUAGGGUGUUAUAGGUUUGUUCCAACAAACACUCACAGAGGCAUAUGAAAUAUGUUAGUCUUGUAAGUUGUGUCGAAUGUUACGCAAUCACCAUUUUCUUGAUAUGCUCCUCGGAAACUUGCAUUGGACCAGAAUAUGUUUUUAAUUGAUUUUCCACUGUCUACUUGUAUGUCAUAGAAAAACUCAUUAUUAAUUUCCUUCAUGUCUUUAAAGAAAGAUACAUGUUUCAAUACAUCAUCCAAAUCAUCUUUCCUUGCAUUCAUGGCUUUCCUACAAAUUAUAUGCAAACAUGCAUUUGUUAUUUUUGCUAGGAAAGUGUGGUGAAUUAGGAUGCUAUGUACAUUGCCGUAUAUGCAUUUUUCAAUACUUACUGGUUUAGUAGGUCUCGUCCGGUAAUGCUUAGGAAGUAGCUUCCAUAUUCAUUUUUGAAUAGCAUGGACAUGAUUGUUGUGUGUUUGACAUCAUAGUACUGUCAGAGCUUUACGUACUCCAAAAUAGUCGGGUCAUAAUUCUUGUGUGAGUGCAAGAAUAUCAGCAUGCCAUCAGUGUGCAUGAGGUGGUGAUUAUGAUUGUACUCAAUGUCCACUACCACACAUGUGUUAUCCGCCUGCACCUUCAUCCUCAUUCUUGCAUUGCAGCUUGUCCUCUGUGAUGUUUUGUGUCUCUUCCUGUCAGCCUCUGAAACAGAAGUUGUGUGUCUCUCUUGGAAUGCACAAACAAAAUACAUGUGAUUGUCAUUCCCUCCCGUCUUCCUAAUUCCAAAAUCAGCGUGUCUGGCGUAUCUGUUGUAAAAUUCCCUUGUCUUCUCUACAUUCUGGAUUCGCAUAAUUAGUCUUGGUAUUAGAUAAUCCGAGAGAUCUGGCAUCUGCACAAAAAGAAAAAAUAACCCAAACGACAUGUUAAAAUGCAGUUUAUAAAUUUGUUAUCCUGGAGGGAGAAGAACAAUUGCAGAUCAUACAAGAUGCAUAUAUAAAUACUUAAAUUGUGUUCACUUACAUGCGUUUAUGAUCGCAACUCCGUCAGAGUAUGCUGCUGGCCCUUUGGGAAUGGGCACAUCAGAGUUAUCACAGCAGGAUGCAGGAGUGGAUCACGAGGAGGAAGGAGGGCAGAAGAUGGCCUCUCUCUUGUUUGCGUCCUUUUUGCUUGUGGUGUUUGUGGAGGUAUUGCGAUCCUGGUUUUAGUUUGCUCGUUUGUUAUGUGAAGCAAUCCAUCUACCUUAUGUCUCGUACAAUCCUGAGUUGUACCAGCAACAUCAUCUUCCAACGGCGG